rnacentral:rRNA from 1 species
UACGUAGGGUGCAAGCGUUGUCCGGAUUUAUUGGGCGUAAAGAGCUCGUAGGCGGUUUAGAAAGUCGGGUGUGAAACCUCCAGCUCAACCUGGAGACGCCACUCGAUACUUCUAUGACUUGAGUUCGGUAGGGGUAAGCGGAAUUCCUGGUGUAGCGGUGAAAUGCGCAGAUAUCAGGAAGAACACCGAUGGCGAAGGCAGUUCUCUGGGACGGUACUGACGCUGAGACGCGAAAGCGUGGGGAGCGAACAGG